CGCGUUUCUAGCAAGUUGUUGGAAAUUAAAAAUUUUUGUUUAAUAAAUACACGUUUAAUAAUUAUAAUAUUCUAAUCGGUACAUAUUUAAUGAAUGUAAUGAUUAUAAUAGUAUGCGUUUAUGACCUACCUAUAUUAAUUUUUCAUUAUUUUCUAUCAUAGAUCAUAAUGUUUUAAUGGUUCUAUUCUUCCUAGUUGCUGUUCAAAAGUAUCAGUUGACCUUUAUCCAUAUAUAUUUGUAGCGCCUUUCUUUUUGCCAAUGACUUUGAGACUUCCCUACAAUAAUUUUCAUUUAGGAUACAGUGUUAUACAGUUACUAGAUAUUGUCAAGUGCCAAUUAAUAUAAAUACAUAUAUUUAAAAGUAAUAUAGUGGUGUCAAAAUAGAUAAUAUAAAUAAUUAUUAUUUUAGGCGAAUCGGUUUUGAAUAACAGACACCAAAAGUGAAAAGGACUCUCUGAUGAUAUCUAAGAUGAAAAGAAACAAUAAUUCGAUACAUAAAUGAUCAAACGCUAGUGAGUAUUGUAUAUUAAUUAUAAUUUUAUAUAUCAAAAAAUGAUAGCUAUAACACUCAUGCGACCAAAUUAUAAUUGUCUCACAUGGUUCUAAUAUUUUAGAAGAUCCACGGCACAAAAGUAUGCAAGACUCUCGUAUUGGUACAAUGGAUUUGAAACCGAAUGGUGGAAAGAAAUUUAGGUUUCAACUUUUUAUAUUAAAAUGUCUGGCUCAUGUGGUAGGAAUGUGUAUUUUAAUCAUAAAUGUCUC